UUCAAUGUUCACUCUAAACUGAUAUCUGCUAUUCCGCUUUGUUUCGUUUUUUCUUUGCAAAUAUCAUAUUCACAAGUCACUAAAGAGAGUGAAAUCCGAGGGUCAGCAAGUUUUUUGGCCUUGCACAGAGAGAGAGAGAGAGAGAAAUCUGAAGGUCGCUGCCACCAUUAGGCUAGUGUCCCACCACCGUCAGACUCAAAUUUUAAUGAUGGGGUUAUUCCACAAUGAAAUGGGCAACAACAGCUUUCAUUGGUCAAUUGAGCCACACGUGAAAGGAAAAGAUUUACUCUGACUGUGAUAUUGCUUCAAGUCCUUUCUCUUUUGGCCGAAUCAACUUAUAGAUAAAUAUUGACAAAUGGCAAGUGGUAGUUAUACAGUUGUCACAAAUCACAUGAAAUGUUGGUUGGGGUUAAAAAUAUAAGUCUUUGUUUCUACCUAUAUGUAUUAAUCCGAAGGAUAACACACUCUAUCAAGUCUAUGAAAUUCUAUAUGUAUUAUUUUUGUGAUCUUUUAACUUUAUGAAAUUCUAUGUCUGGUA